UAAACCAUCCAAUACCUAUAUAUUGAACAGAGUCAAUCCCAGUUCACCACGGAUUGGAAUGCAGAAUGGUGCACCAAAAAGAGGUGCUGUGGCUGUUUCUCCAGGGUUUCCCUCUGCAACAAGAC